CUUGGCUUCUAUGAGCUAUGAAAGACGUGAUAAGCUGCGAUAAGCUUUGGGGAGGUGCAAACAACCUUCGAUCCAAAGAUUUCUGAAUGGGGCAACCCGCUCUUUUGAGCUUUAGCAUACCCGGAGAACUGAAACAUCUAAGUACCCGGAGGAAAAGAAAAUAAUAAUGAUUCCCGUAGUAGUGGCGAACGAACUGGGAAGAGCCCAAACCAUGAUUGUUUUUGCAAUUAUGGGGUUGUAGGACACUAACAUGCUUUAAUACAUUUAUUCGAAUCAUCUGGAAAGUUGAGCCACAGAGUGUGAUAGCCACGUAAAGUAAAAAUGUUUUUAAAGUAUAGUGUAUCCUGAGUACAGCGAGACAUGUGUAAUCUUGUUGGAAUCUGCCAGAACCAUCUGGUAAGGCUAAAUAUAAAUAGAAGACCGAUAGUGAAUAGUACCGUGAGGGAAAGUUGAAAAGUAUUCUGAAUAAGAAAGUGAAAUAGUUCCUGAAAUUAAUGACAUACAAGCGGUGGAAGCCUUCGGGUGACCGCGUGCCUUUUGCAUAAUGAGCCUACGAGUUGCUCGUAUCUAGCAAGGUUAAAUUUUAUUGGAGCCGAAACGAAAGUGAGUCUUAACAGGGCGCUUAGUUAGAUGCGGCAGACGCGAAACUUGGUGAUCUACCCAUGACCAGGUUGAAGCUACGCUAAUCCGUAGUGGAGGACCGAACCAGUUGACGUUGAAAAG
rnacentral:rRNA from 14 species